GACGAAGGUGGCGACCGUUGUUCGGAAUCACUGGGCAUAAAGAGCACGUAGGCGGCAAGGUAAGUCGGGUGUGAAAUCCCUCGGCCUAACCGAGGAAUUGCGCCCGAAACUACCGUGCUUGAGGAUGGAAGGGGAGCGUGGAAUUCCUGGUGGAGCGGUGAAAUGCGUUGAUAUCAGGAGGAACACCGGCGGCGAAGGCGACGCUCUGGUCCAUUACUGACGCUGAGGUGCGAAAGCCAGGGGAGCAAACAGG
rnacentral:rRNA from 1 species